GCUCAGGAUGAACGCUGGCGGCGUGCUUAACACAUGCAAGUCGAACGAAGAUACUUAAAAUGAGAGCUUCGGCAGGAUUUUUAUUUAUCUUAGUGGCGGACGGGUGAGUAACGUGUGGGCAACCUGCCCUAUACUGGGGAAUAAUCACUGGAAACGGUGACUAAUACCGCAUGUCAUUACGGAAGGGCAUCCUUCUGUAAGAAAAGGAGUAAUUCGGUAUAGGAUGGGCCCGCAUCUGAUUAGCUAGUUGGUGAGAUAACAGCCCACCAAGGCGACGAUCAGUAGCCGACCUGAGAGGGUGAUCGGCCACAUUGGGACUGAGACACGGCCCAAACUCCUACGGGAGGCAGCAGUA
rnacentral:rRNA from 1 species